rnacentral:rRNA from 1 species
AGAGUUUGAUCAUGGCUCAGGAUGAACGCUGGCGGCGUGCUUAACACAUGCAAGUCGAACGAACCUUCGGGUUAGUGGCGGACGGGUGAGUAACGCGUGAGAAUCUGCCCUCAGGAGGGGGACAACAGCUGGAAACGGCUGCUAAUACCCCAUAUGCCGCGAGGUGAAAUGAAUUUCGCCUGAGGAUGAGCUCGCGUCUGAUUAGCCAGUUGGUGAGGUAAUGGCUCACCAAGGCUUCGAUCAGUUGCUGGUCUGAGAGGAUGAUCAGCCACACUGGGACUGAGACACGGCCCAGACUCCUACGGGAGGCAGCAGUGGGGAAUUUUCCGCAAUGGGCGAAAGCCUGACGGAGCAACGCCGCGUGAGGGACGAAGGCCUCUGGGCUGUAAACCUCUUUUCUCAAGGAAGAAGAUAUGACGGUACUUGAGGAAUAAGCCACGGCUAAUUCCGUGCCAGCCGCCGCGGUAAUAC